rnacentral:rRNA from 1 species
GAUGAACGCUAGCGGCAGGCUUAAUACAUGCAAGUCGAGGGGCAGCAAGGGUAGCAAUACUCUGUUGGCGACCGGCAAACGGGUGAGGAACACGUACGCAACUUUCCCAAAACUGGUGAAUAGCCCUCCGAAAGGAGGAUUAAUACACCGUAAGAUACGUGAUAUGGCAUCAUAUUGAUUAUUAUAGCUCCGGCGGUUUUGGAUGGGCGUGCGCCUGAUUAGGUAGUUGGCGGGGUAACGGCCCACCAAGCCUUCGAUCAGUAACUGGUGUGAGAGCACGACCAGUCACACGGGCACUGAGACACGGGCCCGACUCCUACGGGAGGCAGCAGUAAGGAAUAUUGGUCAAUGGACGCAAGUCUGAACCAGCCAUGCCGCGUGAAGGAUGACGGCCCUCUGGGUUGUAAACUUCUUUUAUCUGGGACGAAAAAAGGUCUUUUUAGAUCACUUGACGGUACCAGAGGAAUAAGCACCGGCUAACUCCGUGCCAGCAGCCGCGGUAAUACGGAGGGUGCAAGCGUUAUCCGGAUUUACUGGGUUUAAAGGGUGCGUAGGUGGGCUUAUAAGUCAGUGGUGAAAUCUUCGAGCUUAACUCGGAAACUGCCGUUGAUACUAUAGGUCUUGAAUUAUCUGGAGGUAAGCGGAAUAUGUCAUGUAGCGGUGAAAUGCUUAGAUAUGACAUAGAACACCAAUUGCGAAGGCAGCUUACUACGGAUUGAUUGACACUGAGGCACGAAAGCGUGGGGAUCAAACAGGAUUAGAUACCCUGGUAGUCCACGCCCUAAACUAUGGAUACUCGACAUACGCGA